rnacentral:rRNA from 1 species
ACAAGCAGCGAGGCAUGUGGUUAAUUCGAGGCUACACGAAGAACUUACCUGGUUUGACAUGUACGAGUAAAUCCCAAGAAACUGGGACCCUAUGCGUAGCAAUACGUAUACCCGUGCACAGGUGCUGCAUGGCUGUCGUCAGCUCGUGUCGUGAGAUGUUCGGUUAAGUCCGCUAACGAGCGCAACCCUCGCUGUGUGUUAUAUGUGUCACACGGGACUGCCGGUCUUAAGCCGGAGGAAGGUGGGGAUGAUGUCAAGUCAGCAUGGCCUUUAUAUCCUGGGCUACACACACGCUACAAUGGCCAACACAAUAGGUUGCUAAGCCGCGAGGUGGCGCCAAUCCAUAAAGUUGGUCUCAGUUCAGAUUGUAGGCUGCAACCCGCCUGCAUGAAGAUGGAGUUGCUAGUAACCGCAGGUCAGCUAUACUGCGGUGAAUACGUUCCCGGGGCUU